rnacentral:rRNA from 1 species
AACGAACGUUAGCGGCGCGCCUAACACAUGCAAGUCGAGCGAGAAAGGGCUUCGGCCCCGGUACAGCGGCGCACGGGUGAGUAACACGUAGGUAAUCUACCCCCAGGUGGUGGAUAACCUUCCGAAAGGAGGGCUAAUACAGCAUGAGACCACGACUCCGAAAGGGGAUGAGGUCAAAGCCGGCCUCUUCAUGAAAGCUGGCGCCAGGGGAUGAGCCUGCGGCCCAUCAGCUAGUUGGUAGGGUAACGGCCUACCAAGGCGAAGACGGGUAGGUGGUCUGAGAGGAUGCUCAGCCACACUGGAACGGAGACACGGUCCAGACUCCUACGGGAGGCAGCAGUGGGGAAUCUUGCGCAAUGGGCGAAAGCCUGACGCAGCGACGCCGCGUGAGUGAUGAAGGCCCUCGGGUUGUAAAGCUCUGUGGAGGGGGACGAAUAAGGGUUGGCUAAUAUCCAGCUCGAUGACGGUACCCCUUUAGCAAGCACCGGCUAACUCUGUGCCAGCCGCCGCCGUAACAC